rnacentral:lncRNA from 1 species
CACCUGCCCGCGGACAAGGUCACAGCUUUGCAGGGGGUUGACAUGGGCUGUGGCUUCCUGGAAAUGUCACCCUCACCAGAGCCUUUUACAUGGAUGUGAAUUUUGAGACAUGAAGGAGGGGCUGCACCCCAUGGACCUGGGUUCCUGGAGUCUUUGACGGCUUUGUGUGGUCGACUUGUUUUGAUACUGAGGACACCCCUGCUGGCUGUUAAUUUCAGGGCAAGGGAUAUGAGGCCAUUAUUUUAAGUGAAAUAACUCAAGAAUGGAAAAUAAAAUACUAUUAUUUUUCACUUAUAA